UGCAGCUGUGGAAGUCACAUGACCUAGCCUUGGCAGCCGGAUGCCAUCGUUUUGGUGCAUUGACUAUGGGAGAUGUGGCUCAUGGUCCAGGUGCAGGGCGUCUGUAGAGACUAAUUAUCAUGGGGGUGGGGAGAUUACCCUGAAUUAUCCUGGUGGAUCCAAUGUAAUGCCACUGGUUGUUGUAAGUGAAAGAUGGAGGCAAGAAAGUUGCAUCAGAGGAGACGUGGUGACAGAAGCAGAGGUUGAAUGAUGUGAUUGCUGGCUUUGAAGAUGGAAAAGGACCAUGAAUCAAGGAAUGUGGGCAGCUCUAGAAGCUGGAAAAGUCAAGGACUGGGUUUUCCCCUCAAAACCUCCAGUUAGAGUGCAGCCCUGCCCACAGUGAGACUUAGCCCACUGAGACUUCUGACCCUCAGAACUCUAAGGGUCCCAUGUGGCCUCUGCUCUCCCUUGCAAAGAGCCAAAUGGGAACCUAGCGAGGAGGGGGCGGGGCGGAGGAAGACGGCUGCCUAAACCCUGCCUCGCUCCAGAUGCCUGUCCAGGCGGCAGGGGGCAGUGUGAGGCCCUCUCGCCUCCAUCGCUGCCCAGCUGACCCAGGGGAAGGGCUCCCGCCGCAAACACCCCGCUGUUUACUUGCCCCCGCGGAGGGUGCGAGGCGUCAGGGGGCCUGAAGGGGAGACACGGCCUUGCCAGUCAUCACCUGGAAUACAUUACAG